rnacentral:rRNA from 1 species
UGGGGAAUUUUGGACAAUGGGGGCAACCCUGAUCCAGCAAUGCCGCGUGAGUGAAGAAGGCCUUCGGGUUGUAAACUGCUUUUGUACGGAACGAAAAAGCUCCUUCUAAUACAGGGGGCCCAUGACGGUACCGUAAGAAUAAGCACCGGCUAACUAUGUGCCAGCAGCCGCGGUAAUACGUAGGGUGCGAGCGUUAAUCGGAAUUACUGGGCGUAAAGCGUGCGCAGGCGGUUAUGUAAGACAGAUGUGAAAUCCCCGGGCUCAACCUGGGAACUGCAUUUGUGACUGCAUGGCUAGAGUACGGUAGAGGGGGAUGGAAUUCCGCGUGUAGCAGUGAAAUGCGUAGAUAUGCGGAGGAACACCGAUGGCGAAGGCAAUCCCCUGGACCUGUACUGACGCUCAUGCACGAAAGCGUGGGGAGCAAACAGGAUUAGAUACCCUGGUAGUCCCUGAGCGGGCUGGCAAGGCGCAU